UACAGAGGGUGCAAGCGUUGUUCGGAAUUACUGGGCGUAAAGCGCGUGUAGGCGGCGGCGUAAGUCGAAUGUGAAAUCCCUUGGCUUAACCAAGGAAGUGCAUCCGAUACUGCGUCGCUUGAGUGUCGGAGGGGAUGGUGGAAUUCCCGGUGUAGAGGUGAAAUUCGUAGAUAUCGGGAGGAACACCUGUGGCGAAGGCGGCCAUCUGGACGAUAACUGACGCUGAGACGCGAAAGCGUGGGGAGCGAACAGG
rnacentral:rRNA from 1 species